CCCUAAGUUUGCUACAUAGCAUAAGAUGACCUAACUUGUGAUCUCCUACCUCCCGGGUGCUAGGAUUACAGGUCUGUGCCACCAUGCCCAGCUUUGUUUUUAAAAGGAAGAGUUUGAGAGUUGUCUGUUUUUUUCAGUAGACAGUGAUGUGUAGGGUGGGGAAAUAGCAGAUUCAGAGUGUUAUUCUCACUUGGAAGUAGAACAAAGUCAGAAAUUUAAGACUGACAAGAGAAGGAAGAUGAUUGAGACUUGUGGUCUUACAGGAAAGGAACUAGAGGGGGAAGAAGGGGGGUGAUGUGAAUUUGACAUUUUAUUUACAUAUUUAUUUCCAUUAAAUAUAGGCCAUACAAGAAUUAAUGAAAAUCCAUGGACAAGAUCCUGUUUCAUUUCAAGAUGUCAAGGUUAUUUUAUUUUCCUUUAUUGGAUGAAAUCUUUGACAUAGUAAAACCAGAGGAUCCUUUGAAAAUCUCACUUCAGGAUUUAAUCAACAGCAAUCAAGGAGACACAGUCACCACCAUUCUGAUUGAUCUGAACGGCUUCUGGAUUUAUGAGAACAGAGAAGCCCUUGUUGCAAAUGAUAGUGAGAACUCUGGAGACCUUGAUGAUACAUGACCUCUGAAAGACUAGACUCUUCAUUAAGAUGCUUUAAUGCUGCAUGUGAAACCUUUGAGGCAGAAUCCUCAGAAAACAGUCUAAAUAAAACUCAUCAUAUGCCUGCACAACA